GGAGGGUAUAGCUCAGUGGUAGAGCACAUGCUUAGCAAGCAUGAGGCCCUGGGUUCAAUCCCCAGUACCGCCA
rnacentral:tRNA from 1 species